rnacentral:lncRNA from 1 species
UUUCAAGUGUCCUGGGCUCUCCCUGCCUCUGCCCCCACAUACUUCCCUGGGCCUCUGAGCCCACCAGGCUGGGGACCUUGAGAGGGACACAGGGCACGGCCUGGUAAGAUCUGUGAGCUGGAGCGUGUGUCUGCAGAGCAGCUCUCUGGAGCACAGCUGGGGCCACAUCUGGUCUAGUGUCUGGACUAGGACAUGUUUCUUCUCUCCUGCUGUACCUCUGCCUGCUCUCUGUGCUUUGGGGAGCCCAGGCAAAGGGAACCAACAUGGACCACAGUUUAAAUGCUGUAUAAAGCAUCCAGCGGUCAGAAAGCCAGUGGAAAAGAAGACACAUACGAGGGGGCCGAAGCCCGGACCCUAGUCCUGGCGCUCUAGAACAUGGAAUGCAGAGUCAGACUGGCUGUCUGCAACCCAUCUCCACCGCUGGAAUUCCAGGGAGGCGUCGAAUCUCUUCAUUCUCCAGUUUCCUCUUCUCAACCACAGGGGGUCUCCCUGUGUCCAUGGUUGUUGUUUGUUCCAGGGAUGAGACACUCGUUUUCCAGGAACAGCUUGGGAAGAAGACCACCUCCGAGCAGGGAGGACAGAUCCAUUGCCCACCCUUCAAGGGCACCUGCAGCGUGAGGAGGGAAGAGAGGCAUUCUCCACCCUGAGUUUCCUGGAGCUCCCGGGAGCUGAAAUAUGUGCCCCCCCCACCCGAUGCCCCCCCCUGCCUAGAGCAGUGUGAGUAUUUGCAUAAACACCGGCUGUGAAGCUCUCCUGGUAACCGUGCACUGCUUAUAAAUACUGAGAACUGCUAGUGGGAGGAAAUGGUUGCUUGGUGGAAGAGAUAAUAGAGGGUGCUAUAAAGAGUAAUGGGACUCUACAUGUAAGGGUUAUUAAUAAUGACAGGAGUAGCAAUGGGAGGCCAUCCUGUCCUGGUUUUUCUGGGACUGUCCCAGGUUUCAAAACCAAAAGUCCUGUAUCCAGAAAGCCCCUCCGUGUUGGCACUCCAGCAAGAAUGAGUGUUCUUCGGUCCCCUGAAUUUACCCAGGCCAUUAAAAAUGAUCCAUCUGUGAGACUUGCUGAACAAGGACUGAAACGUGUCAUUCCCG